CAAUAAAUCACCAUCCAGGGUCCCAUCAGAAAUGAUCAAGGUGGCAUUGACGAGCCAAAACGCACCAAGAUCCACAGAAAGAAGAGUGAGGCUCUAUUCUGAAACACCUUUUGGUGUGAAGCGGGCUUCUCUUCUUUUUGAAGAUGUGGGCGUGCGUCUGUGUGUUUGAUGGCGGGACACAGAGGGUUGGAGCUGGGGAAACACUUCAGGAUGAAAAGUAUUGUUCCUGAUGCGUCUGUGAGGGUGUUGCCAAAGGAGAUUAACAUAUGACUCAGUGGACUGGAAAGGCAGACCCACCCUUAAUCUGUCUGGGCACAAUCUAAUCAGCUACCAGCAUUGCCAGAAUAAAUGCAGGCAGAAGAAUAUGAAAAGACCAGACUGGCUUAGCCUCCCAGGCUACAUCUUUCUCCUGUGCUGGAUGCUUCCUGCCCUCGAACAUCAGACUCCAAGUUCUUCAGCUUUGGGACUUGGACUGGCUUCCUUGCUCCUCAGUUUGCAGAUGGCCUAUUGUGGGACCUAUUACUCCUUAAUAAAUUCCCCUUUAUAUAUACAUCUAUCCUAUUAGUUAUGUCCCUCUAAGGAACCCUGACUAAUACAUCAACUCUGCUAGCUUCUGGACUUCCAAGAACCAGAACUGUAAGAAAAUAAAUGUCUACUUGUUGAACUGUUCUGGUUUUAAUUCCAUUCCCUGCAAUUGGAGCCUGAAUAAUGAGUUAUUUCACAGGAAGAUUGAUCUGGGUAUUAGGGCAUCAUUUAGUUUGCCAUUACAACAGCCAAUUUUGGUUACAUGCUCAGCUGUGAAGGGGAAAUGGGCCAGCCUGCUGGAGCUUUCUAAAGCAUGGAGCUGGCUCUACAAACAGAGGGAGGUUCUGCAAACAGCGCAAGUGCAUUAAGUAGCUUCAGAUCCUCUAACCAGCAGCUUGCUCUAUACACAGAGAACGGUGCAGUCUUCAGGGAUCUGGUGAGCAGACGGCUACAGGAUUUGUACCCCAGGAUUAAAGCCAGAAACCAAAAGACCAUCUGCCGGUACCCACAGGAGGGAGGAUGCAGGUCAUUUUCAUGUGCAGUGACAUCGUAGCUCAUCCAUGAGAUGGAAUCACUCUUAGAGAUUGAGAGGCUUAGGCGGUGUCAGUCAGAGACGGGCCACACAUCUCAAGCCGGGACAGAGGCUGCCAGCAAAGCCCUCUUCAACCCACUGGAGUCAGCAGGCCCAGUGCUUCAUAAACCAAGUUAUGAGAGCAGAGCUGAGAAUUUCUAAGGAGCCUCCUUUUUAAAGCCUUUCACUUCACCUGCUCUCCAACAGCUGGUGAGUCUUUCCAGGGCAGCACAGUCCAGCAGAAAGAGAUUUAAUAAGGGAAAUAGCGACUUACAGAGGGAUCAGAGGGCCUAGACAAAAGAAGUUUAGGACCACCCACCGCUAGGCUUUUGGCUUAAGGUUGCAUCCCCACAGCUGUGAUUCUGAGACCAGGAGACAGCUGCUGCCCCUGCAAGGAAGGACCACUAGUGUGGCUCCAGCUGCCCCGAAUUCAGGAAGCUGGUGACAAGACCAUGGAUAUACCAGUUGCUGCAAAUCCUCACAUUGGCAGGAGCCCGUGGACCAUCCAGCACACUGCAGUGGAGCACCUCUGCCUCUCUGCCACUGUCCAGAGCUCAUGGAAAUGCCUCUUCUUGGCAAAACUGAAACUGCAGCCAGAUCCAAACAGCAAGAAACUCUGGGAAAUGUCACUUUUGUCCUGCUAGACCCCAUUGUUUUCCCUGCCUGUUCCCUGUGGUGGUGUGGUGUGGUCAUGAAGGUUCCGCCUGCCUGGGGUCAGGUGCAGGUUCCACUGUUCUCUGUGUUGACCUCGAUAAUCUUGUGUGACUUUUCUGUGUCUCAGUUUUCUUAUGAACGGUCACUGCGCAGGAUCAAGCUACAAUGAAGAGGAGGGAGGCAGUCUGCGCGCACCGCCAUUUUCUAGGAACUGGGAAGCCCCCCCACCCCUUAGGAAGAUCCAUCCCUGUGGAACCUUGCCCAGGCUUACCAGCCUUUGCUGAGGUUGAUCUAUUGUCCCUCCUUGUCCCCAUCAAAAUAUCCAGCACUCCACCUUCAGGGAGUAGACUUGACCCUCAAAUAGCAAGUUCAGCCUUCCCAGGUCUAGGUUCCCUGGGAGGUCAAGAUUCGUCUGGUUCCUUAGUACAGAGGGCUAGCUGUGAGUUGGAAUCCCCCUAUGAGCUUUAGAAUCAGUCAAGAGGAAUUGGGCCCCUUCCCUUCAUCCCUCUUCUUUUCCCUUUUUGUCCCAGAGCUCAGCUCUGACUCAAAAGUUUUUCCAUUUACCAUCAACAUGGAAACUUGGCUCCUCACGUAGGUAUAUUAUCCCCCUUUUGUACAUGGUCUUGUUGAUCCAAACU
rnacentral:lncRNA from 1 species